rnacentral:rRNA from 1 species
UGAUCGUUUACAGCUAGGACUACCGGGGUAUCUAAUCCCGUUCGCUCCCCUAGCUUUCGUGCCUCAGCGUCAGAAGAGUCCCAGUAAGCCGCUUUCGCCACCGGUGUUCCUGAUGAUAUCAACGCAUUUCACCGCUCCACCAUCAGUUCCGCUUACCUCUGACUCCCUCAAGGCUUAUGGUUUCCAACGCAAUUCCACGGUUGAGCCGUGGGCUUUCACAUCAGACCUUUAAACCCGCCUACGCACCCUUUAAGCCCAGUGAUUCCGAAUAACGUUUGCACAGUUCGU